GUAAGGAAUAUUGGUCAAUGGACGAAAGUCUGAACCAGCCAUGCCGCGUGGAGGAUGAAGGUCCUCUGGAUUGUAAACUUCUUUUAUAUGGGACGAAAAUGGGGCUUUCUAGCUCAACUGACGGUACCAUAUGAAUAAGCACCGGCUAACUCCGUGCCAGCAGCCGCGGUAAGACGGAGGGUGCAAGCGUUAUCCGGCUUCACUGGGUGUAAAGGGUGCGUAGGUGGAUUGGUAAGUCAGAGGUGAAAUCUCAGGGCUCAACUCGGAAACUGCCUUUGAUACUAUCAAUCUUGAAUAGUGUGGAGGUUAGCGGAAUAUGUCAUGUAGCGGUGAAAUGCUUAGAUAUGACAUAGAACACCAAUUGCGAAGGCAGCUGGCUACACAUAUAUUGACACUGAGGCACGAAAGCGUGGGGAUCAAACAGGAUUAGAUACCCCUGUAGUCC
rnacentral:rRNA from 1 species